AAGAGAGUCGAUAAGCACUGCAGGAUUUCCAUGGCCAAAAGCAAAGUGAGAAUCAGGCCCUCCACACUGAGCAAUUCUGAUGGCAGAUCUGGAGCAUCUGAUACACUGGAAGUAUGGAAAACAGUCAGAUGGAGAAAAUGGAAACUAGCAGCGUGAUGAUGAGGUGUGUAAGCAGCUGGCUAGAGGAGAGGAGGCAACACAGGAAAGAAAGAGGGGGUUGGGUGGCAGCUGCAAGUGGAAUUUCUUUUCUGUCAGGAUUGUAACUGAAUUUGCUUAGUACCUGGAGCACAAGUACUGUGAGACUGGGGCUGGUGUUAAGCUGAGAGGCACUCAUAUGGAUCCAAGUGCACACAAAAAAAAGCCUGGAAGACUCUUCACACUGAAGGGGAUGAAAUGAAUGGGAUGAAAGCUGACAGUACAAAUAUGAACUCAUGCCCUUGAAGACUGAACAAAGUAUUUUGCUACAUGUCUUGUAAUUGAUAACAAAAGAGCCUUGAUUAUAGAUGAUUCAGAUGCAAUUUGGUAGCUCAUCCUGCACUAGGAGACAGAUUUCCAGUGGGGAUGAAGAUGAUGAUGAAGAUUCAAGCCACUGUGCAGAGGCCAAAGAGAAACUGCAGUUGCUGGAUGGUGAGGACAGAUACUAAAAUGGUAUCAUCAAUAAAGUGGAUACAGUUCUGGAAGAUGAGACCAGAAAAGCUUGAUUCAUUAGCCUGAGACACAAUAACAACUGAUAUCUUUAUAAGAAGAAAAUGAUGAGAAAGGUAAAGACAGUUCUAUCUGAUCAUAAAUACAGCCACAAGGAGAAAAAGGAGUAGAAGCAAGCAGGGAAAAAUAUUGUCUGAAAAUUGUUCUGGGCCUAGAAACCUUUUUUUUCCCUAUCAGGCUCUGAUGAAGAAAGAAAUAACAUUGACAAAGGAGCUUGUACAAGAUGAAGCAGCAGUGCCUGGUGCUGCAGGAUACUGGGCGGCCCUUCCCCAUCCAGCCCCAUUUGGCUACAACAGGAAUUGUGCAUGGGCCCCACUUUGUCUGAUGUUGUCCAUGGCAUUUGCAAAGUUUGGCAUGAGGAGAAUCCUGUUUAUUUAAGGUCCUGCUAAUUGUCAGCAUAUACUCUGAGAAUCAGGCUGUGCUGCACAGUUGCAUUCAAGUGUGCCAGAAGAAAGAUCUGUUGGCAGCUGAACCCUGAUCAGCUGGAUGAGUUUGCCUUCGCAUUGUGAAGCCUACACUGACUUCAAAGCAGAAUUAAAGACAAAGGACCUGAUUAUCUUAGAACAGUAGGUUUGCUUUUUGUAGUGCACCUUUCAAAGAUGUUUCCAGAUGAGCUAAGACCGUAAGAUGAGAUUCACUGCACUAGCACAACACUAUAGAACAAACAAGUAACUCGUUGCAUAGGGCUGCAGAAAGGCCUUCAUUUUUUCUCAUUUACAAAGGGGAGGCAUGGCCACAGUAGGCUGACCAUUGGUUAGGCCAAAUUUAAAAGGCUUUUAACAGGUAACUGAUGAUCAGCUAUAGAAGCUCAAGUAGGACUGCUACAGCAUUACUGCAUUUACAGCUCAUUUUGCACCUAAGAUCAAUUACCUCAUCUGGGCAGGGGGGGCAGUGCUGAAAUGUAUAGUUUGUUUUUGCGUGAAACAGAACUUCCAAUGGUUUUAGGGAAAUGUUUCAGAAAUGAUAUUUUUAUAUCAGUUUAUAGGACUGGCAUUUUCAAAUGUUUUGUAAAAAGAAAAAGUGUACAGAAUAUUUGAGAGGGUUUUUCCAGUUACGUUUGAGGGACUCCAGUGUACUAAUAGUGUUACCGUUUUCUUCAUGUUUCUGUAUUUUUAACUAAGCAUGUGUAUCCUGCAUUAAGAUAAAAGUCUUAAUAUAAUUUGUGCAACUUUU